AAGGUGCCGGACAUCCGUCCGGAGAAUAGGGAAACAGGUGUGAUUCCUGUACGAUCUCGUCACCGUAUUUCGAGAGCGAGGGCCAUAUGUCACUGGGAAACCGGGAAGACGGCCUGCGCGUCUGAUCGAUCAGUCGGGAGACCUGCCUUUCGC
rnacentral:ncRNA from 1 species